CAAGGUUUUCGUAGGUGAACCUUGGGAAAGGAUCAUUG
rnacentral:rRNA from 1 species